AAAAUCUCACCGAGCCCUCCCCUUUCACUCUUAAACGCGUGGCCAUGAUUUAAUACAUUUCCAUUACCACAUGGCAGAAUGAUCAGUAUACCAACUUUGGAAACCGGCCUAGCUACCCUAUGCUACUUGAAAAGAUGAAAAUGCGGUCUCGAGGCAACGGUUAAAUGCAUCUCUUCACUCUUAAAAUAAAUCUAGUCCUAAAAAUUUAAAAGGUUCACCUUAACCUUUCUAACGAGAAUUCCUAGGAUCGGUAACCACUUCAUCUUCUAUGUCUUCCAUCUUUGGCAUCACCGACGCGGUGGUGGGGAAACCAACAGUGGCGCCGCCGUCAGCCUUAAACACCAACCGAAUUAAACACACUUCCCUUCUCCCCUAUCUAAAACCUACUUAAAUCUCAAAUAAUGGUAAUGCUAAACCGGAUUUGAAUCGUGUCGUAUAUUCUACAAAUGAAAACCAAAGUCCGACAGAUGAUCGAUGAUUCAACAAAACAAAAAAACAAGUUUGGACAAAGUUAAAAAACCUUGGAUCCAGUUCAAUCAAUAUCAACAAGUUAAGCAAUAAGAUAUUUGAUGGUCAUUACGAAGAUGUUUAGAAGAAAAGAGAAUCUAACAACUUUCAGGAGGUCAAGCUCUUCAAGCCCUGAUUUUCGAUAUGAAAAUCAGAGUUGAAACAAAGGACUGAUCUAGCUUUAAUGGGGGUUUUCGAUUUGGAUUUUGGUCAAGAUUUGUGCAGAGUAACAACAGGUUUUUUUUCGGAUCCUUCUUACAAUGAUUGAUGGCCUUUAUAUAGAGCUUUUGGGUACGAGGUAUCUUCAUCUUCACCCUCUAUGAGCUGGCGAGCUGAUUAAGAUUUUCCCGUUGGGAAAAUCUCUCACAAAUUCUGCGUGGUCCCUUCAAACAGUAGUGGUCCCAAAAUGAAGGUUAUUGGACAACUUAUUGGUUCGUUGGUUUCUAUUAGUUUUCUUCCUAUGUAGCAUUCGGUUACAUUUGACAAAGACAGAUGAUUCUGUAUCAGCAUCGUCUUCUCUUCUAUAUCUUGUGCUCCCGUCAUGUGCUGCCUUUACCUCCAUCAAUGGCAGAACAAAACCGAUGUAUACGCAGGAUGUGCUCUGAUAUUUGGUGGUCAAUAUCAGAAUCCAUUUGAUCCAACACAAUACAAAGCAAAUCCAAUCGAGAAGGCAACGAGUAUGUGAGUCCAAUAUUUAGUUGGAGUCAGUGAACAGUCAUAAGUUUCAUAUAUGGGAUUUGCAGCCGCAACUACACCAUAAUGAGUAUUAAGUGAUGCAUGGAUCCCAGCUUUAGCAAUUAUUACAGUCUGCUGUUCCAUAACUUCGUGUCUAGCUACACGAUCUUGGUCAUUCAUUUUGCCAAAUUCAUCAAUGCAGACAACACCUCUGUCAGCAAGAACCAUUGCCCCAUCUUCUAGCCUUCUUUCUCCUGUUUCUUGAUCUGAAGUAAUUGUUGUUGUCAAACCAACCCCAGAAGAAACCCUGACCAAGUAGAUCAAAUGUAUCAUCUCCUUCAGCUAUCCUUUUUCAUGUUCUUAAGGUCUUCAGUGUUAUAGAUUGUAGCCUUAGCUUCUUUAUUGAGAAGAGCUACAUUUGUUGGUUAUGAGCACAAUCCUGAAUACCCCAUUAACGUUGCCUUUGCUUUCUCAGAAUCUUGGAGCAAUGUCGUUCGUAGUUUUUUGAAACUGGCUGUUGUGAAUCAAUGCUAAUAGACCUGUUUUGGUUAAUUGCGUUUUUUUUGUCCAGGAAUUUUGCAAGCCUUUGGCAAUCACUUAUGCUUGGUAUGUAUUAUCAGACAUGUCCUUUUCAUUGUUUGCUCUAGUCGGUGUUUCGUGGAUGAUCCAACCAUGGCUUGUGCAUUAUAUUUUCAAAAACGGUUGGUAAGGUCAUACGUACCUUGGCAAUAGAAGUCUGUCAUGUGCAUUAUGCAGGUUUGGAUUUGGUCCGCAGUAGGUUAUGUGUGUGCUGUCUUUCUUGAUUUUUUAUGGAUCGGUUGUGGGUUUGUGUAGUCAUACGUAACAGAGUAGCUUAUGGUUUACAUAACUCUAACUUGCGUUUGUGGCUUUAUUUUGUGACUUUGUGGCAAACCUUUAUCCAGAAAUCUCCCUUGGUUAGCAUGCUUCCUAUGCAUUGCAAUUUAGCAACAUAUUGCCUUGCUUUGUGCUGAAUUUGACUGAAUAAUCAUUCCGGUUAAUUCCUGAACGUUGGUUUGUUAUGACUGUUGCAUGUUUGUUUGAAAAUGCAGGAUGUUGACCACAAGGUCCCAUAGUUUCCAGUUGGUACACUUCCCAUUCAUGGUCCUUACUAGCAACAUUCACUAUCAAUCUCUCAAGGUGUCAAGACAUGACUUCAUUGUACUGUUGGUACUUAACUUGGUGCGGUCAAUGGAGUUACCUUGGCAUAGAUUCAUCUUGCGCAAAAUCCUGUACAAGAUGUUUUAUCUUUUACCCUUGCUCUUUGUCCACUCAUUGCUUUUCUCCUGAUCUGGCUGCCGUGAAGUUGUUCAAGCAUUGCAAGAUUUAUGCCGUGUGGCUUUGCAGGUGAUGCUUGUUACAAGGCUCACGUUGGUGGUGUAUUGCGCAACAUGAUUAUCACUCACCAUGGUUUGGUCGUCUCCUUGCUAAUGUUCGUGGCGUGACGGUCUUAAAACAAAUCGUGCUAUCAGGAUUGGAAACUUGAGCAGUUACACACCAGUGGCUCAACCAAAGAUCAAAGCGGAACUUGAGGAUGUGAUUAAAAUUAGGAUGAAUUGUAUUUUUGGUUAGACUUUGUACGCAUUUUUUUUCCAAACCAUGAAACAUCAUACGAAAAGGGCCCAUUGAGGUGAGGUAUGAAUGAUAGUGACAAUUCAAGUUUGGGUAAUCUAAGGCCAUGAAUUCCUUUAGUUGCUCAAAUGCCUAAAUGAACAUGAAAUUUUCCUUC